rnacentral:lncRNA from 1 species
UUCUUCACAAUGCUAAGGAAACCCAUGCAAAAUAAUUAUUCCCAAAUCCGUGCGUAACACGUGUCCAUAAUAUAAUCACUCAUCUGCGGCUAUAAAUCCGCCCCUUUCUCUAGCAGUUGUAUUCACAAUUUGAAAUUUGAACUGAUAUUUAUUACGAUCUUAUCUGUAAAAUUUGUCUGGGGUUCUCAAAAUCUGAAGCAGGCAGAAAUGGCAGAUGAUGGGACAGCAACUUGCAUAGACAUUAUUGUGGCUAUUCUCUUGCCUCCCCUUGGCGUCUUCCUUAGAUAUGGCUGCAAGGUACGUUUUCUUUGCUAGAAUAGAAAGAUUAAUCCGUAUUUAUCAUUAAAUACAUGAUUUUAAGUAUAAAUUUGUCCAGGUUGAAUUUUGGAUCUGUUUGCUGCUGACCAUCUUGGGUUACCUCCCUGGAAUCAUUUAUGCUGUCUACGCCAUCACCAAGAACUGAUCCCAUCCAACAACUGGUAAAUUUUUGACCUACGCACCAACCCUUAGCCAAUAAAAUAUCAGUUUAGUCAUAAAAAUCUUAAUUAUUCCAAAAAUAAUUUGGAGAGCUUCAUCAAAAAAAUAAAAAAAAAAGUUGCCCCAACCUUGAGGUCCCACCGUCCCGUCCCGUCCCUAGAGCUUCAUCAAUCUUAUUGUGGUGGUCCAAGAUCAUGAUAAAUAAUAAUUAUUCUUCCUGAUAUUUUUGACAGGUGAAGAAGAGAUGUGAAGGUUAAGUGUCAUAAAGUUUUUUCCUUUCUUGCUGGAUGGUGUUGAUAGUUUGGUGUUUUAUGAUUUCUUCAGUCCUAUCCUUUUCAUCUGUCUCUGGGCUGAUUAUUGUUAUUAUAUAUUCGUAUAUGUUUGUCAUCGAGUCAUCUUUGUUAAUGUCUUCAUUUGGUUUAUCAUGUAACUUCGAGAAGUAGUAAUUUAUUUAUUGCAAGUGUUUUGUGUAUCAUCAUUUACCAUUUCUAUAUGAAUUAUUUGGUUUAUAUAUAUAUAUAUAUAUAUAUUUUUUUUUCAACUCUUAGAUAUCGACCUACUUAUACACACACAACUUAUCAUCAAAGGGACAUUAAUAACAUUUUUGAUACUCAGGAUAAAUUGAUGUCAUCUAAUCAGUAUUUAAAUUUAUCCCGUACUACUUGUCAUGUCGACACUAACUAUUAGGGUGUGUGUGAUUACAUUUAUUUUUCAUGGAAAAUAUUAGUUUUUCACCCAAAUUUCUACUUGAAGUGUUUGAUUGCUAUUUUUUUCCACGGAAAACGUUUUCCAACUUUUGAAAAUAUGCCUAAUUUUCCUUGUUUUUAAGGAAAACAUUUUCUUUGGAUAGAGGUAGUUUUUAUUUUCCACAAAAGAUGGAAAACAUUUUCUUUUUUAGGUGAUAUUUUCCAUGUUAAUCAAACAAACUCUUAAUGUAUAUGUUUUUGUACGAU